UACAGAGGGUGCGAGCGUUAAUCGGAAUUACUGGGCGUAAAGCGUGCGUAGACGGUUACAUAAGUCGGGUGUGAAAGCCCCGGGCUCAACCUGGGAAUUGCAUUCGAGACUGCGUAGCUAGGGUGCGGAAGAGGGAAGCGGAAUUUCCGGUGUAGCGGUGAAAUGCGUAGAUAUGCGGAGGAACACCGAUGGCGAAGGCAAUCCCCUGGGCCUGCACUGACGCUCAUGCACGAAAGCGUGGGAGC
rnacentral:rRNA from 1 species